UCCUACGGGGGGCAGCAGUGAGGAAUAUUGCACAAUGGGCGGAAGCCUGAUGCAGCAACGCCGCGUGGAGGACGACGGCCUUCGGGUUGUAAACUCCUUUUCUGGGGGACGAGCAAGGACGGUACCCCAGGAAUAAGUCUCGGCUAACUACGUGCCAGCAGCCGCGGUAAAACGUAGGAGGCGAGCGUUAUCCGGAUUUACUGGGCGUAAAGCGCACGCAGGUGGCUUAGCAAGUCGGACAUGAAAGCUCCUGGCUUAACUGGGAGAGGUGGUUCGAAACUGCUGAGCUUGAGGUUGGGAGAGGGACGUGGAAUUCCCGGUGUAGUGGUGGAAUGCGUAGAUAUCGGGAGGAACACCAGUGGCGCAAGCGGCGUCCUGGCCCACACCUGACGCUGAGGUGCGAAAGCGUGGGGAGCAAACAGGAUUAGAUACCCCGGUAGC
rnacentral:rRNA from 1 species